GCCUGCGCUGAUGUCUGGAACCUUCUCUGUUUAACAGGCUUUCAGGUCGUGAAGGAACAAUGAAUAUUUUAUAUGUUUCGAUAUUUUUAACCUGGUUGCCGAAUGCCUUCAGUGCAUGGGUAGAACAAACACCAAGAGAAGCAACGAAACAACCAGGCGAAACUCUGACCAUCAACUGUGUUUUAAGAGAUGCUGCCUGUGGCCUGUAUAGCACAUCAUGGUUCAUCCAAAGAAAGGGUCGAUCGGAUUGGGAAAGGCUAUCUAUUGGAGGACGAUAUGCGGAAUCAGUCAACAAGCCAACAAAGUCCUUUUCCCUGCAGAUCAGCAACCUAAUCGUUGAAGACACGGCCACGUAUUUUUGUAAAGCUCAAGACCACACUAACGCAGCUGAGCACACGCCAAUUCAAAAAGAUUGAAAAUCUUGCACGCGAGAAUCUCUGACUGCUUCGCUCUUCUGGAAACGAAAAUUACUGAGCAGCAGUUGAUUCCGCUGUAGAGCGAGUGUACAUCAGUACUAAGUUGGCGACAGUCACAAUGCCGCUUUUAUCCAAGUGGACGCAGUUGGAGGUGCAUCGUCAGUAUUCUCCCAGAGUUAUGUAAAUGGAGACCUUAUUGCUAUUGAAUCAACCACUGUGCCACUAUAUACUGUCACAGUGAUCCAAAACACGGACUCUGCAAUUCAAAAACCAUCAAUGCAUUUGAUAAUUGGAGAAAAGUCAAUGUUAACCCGGUCCUGAAUUGUACAAUGAAGAUAUAUAAUGUAUAAAACUGUACACUAUUUUCGAAGGAUUAUUGGUUAUAAAAAAAGUUGUAUAGAAUAAUGCUUUAGGAACUAGAUUGUAAUUUGCGCUGUGACCUCGGUUUCUUGUAUUAAAGUAGAAGGAACCUUUCAGUACUAGUAUCAAUGACUGUGUGGAUGGGUGUUGUCACAGUGAUGAAUCUUCAGUCCCGGUCAUGCAUAAAUCGUCUCGGCGGUUAUUAAUGCCAAAUUAAUGCAAGAUAUUCCUUUAGGGACUAAAACUGCGUUCAGACAAACAUUCUUUAUCUCUGCCAGAGAAUGGUACACAAAGCGCAGCCUUGCUCUAUAUGUUUGCAUAAUUGCAGUACAUAUGUGAUCAUCAUAUUAAUAAGAAAGUCUUGAUAUUAUCUACCUGGCUGAGAGCUAUUAUCGACGGGAUUUAAACAGACCAGUGCAACCAUUUCAUUCAUGUCCCCUACCAUCGUAUCAUGGACGUUGAAUUCUACCUACAGUCCUGGUACUCCUGUAUUAUUGUGGAAAGCCUCCGUCUACAAUUCAGUUGCAAUGAUUACUUCUUGAAUUGUACUGAAUAGGAAGUUAAUCAUUGUGUUAUUAUUACCAUGACGGAGCUGGCACAAAGCUGACUGUGAUACCUGCAAAACAACCGACCCCGCCAAACAUCAAUCUUGUAUAUUCUGCAACUACUGAACAAAAAGCACGGGGGUUUGUGGAAUUGAUUUGUCUCAUGAGCGAAUACCUACCUGAAAACAUCGCAGUGACCUGGCAGAAAAACGGACAAGCCGUACAGUCCGGCUUUACCACCACUUCUUCCACUGAAAGCUCAAGCGAAACGUUUACCUCAGCAAGUGUGCUCAAAGUGCCUGUGAACGAAUGGGCCAGUGGUGCUGUGUACUCGUGCCAAGUAUCCCACUCUGCAACCAGCAGCAACAUCCACAAAGAAAUACGAGCUGAGUCAGAAUUCGCAUUAUUUCUCAGAGAUCCUACCGUUGAAGAAAUGUGGAUAAACAAAACUGCCACACUGGUGUGUGAAGUGAUCGCUACAACUCCAGCUGAGGUUUCCAUCUCUUGGACAGUGGGUCGGAAGGAAAGAGCUGAUGGUGUUCAAACAGAACAAGCAGCAAAGAUCGGGAGUCAGUACUUGACAGUCGGCCGUUUGACCAGCAGCGUGGCCGAGUGGGACAGCGGGGUAGAAUACUCCUGCUCGGUGCAGGACAAUCAAUCAGCUGCUCCCCUAUCAAAAAGGACACGAAACGCAAAAGCCAAAGCCGUGGAACCAAGGGUACGUCUCUUGCCCCCGUCUCCAGAGGAGAUUCAAACUGCGGGUAUCGCUACGCUUACAUGCACGAUAACGGGAUUCUACCCCGAUAACAUAACCGUUUUGUGGCAGAAGGACGGAGCCGCAUUCUACUCGAACGCUACCAGCUUCCCCACUGCACUUCAACAGGACAUGACCUUCAACACCAGAAGCCUCCUUUACUUGACUUCAGCCGAGUGGAAGAAGGACGCAACAUACUCCUGUGUCGUCACGCACCCACCUUCACAAUCUACUGUGAAAGCAAACAUCAACCCUCCGAAAAAAGACUGCCAUGAGGCUGAUAUUAAUGUCAUCAUAAAAAAGCCUUCCUUUCAAGAGAUUUGGACGCUUCAGAGAGCGACAAUUAUGUGCGAAGUGGUUUACACAGAUUUACAGAAUGUCACAGUCUCUUGGCGAGUAAAUGGCAGCCGGAGAAUCAACGGAGUAAAGACACACGGUCCAGAGUGGAGGGGAAGUAAAUCCGUCAUCGUCACCAAACUGAAGGUCAAUGUAGAGGAAUGGAACGCUGGAACCGAAUACCUGUGCUUCGUAGAAGGCCGUGAUUUGCCAACACCACUGACAAUGGCCACCAAAAAAACCAAGGUUACUGAAGUGCACCGUCCGAAAGUCUACCUCUUUUACCCAUCAGCUGAGGAGAUUCAAGCCGAGGAAGCAGCUACCCUAAUUUGCCUUGCAACCGGUUUUCAUCCGGAAGAUAUAUACGUCGGCUGGAUGGCCAAUGACACUCUUUUACCUUCCGGAAACUCCAUCCAAUUUAACAGCGAUAAAGAAAACGGCUCUAACUCGGUUACUAGCAAACUGAGGAUCAGCGCAGAAGAUUGGGAGAAGGGAACCACCUAUAGUUGUUUGGUUGGACAUCCGUCGUUACCAACAAAUUUAGUCAGAAGUAUUAAUAAAUACCACGUUAAACCUACUUUAGUUAACGUGUCACUCGUACUAACUGACAGCUUUACAUCGUGCGUCUAAUUAUGCUUGACUCAAUGACUAAUACUUUGGAAGUGUUUCUUGCUUACUGCGUAGCUGUUUGAGUUUCCGUUUUACUGAUUUACAAAAGACCACGCAUAGCAUUCACUCUUCAGAUUAUCCCACCACAAGUGAAAUAUUCCAUUAAUCUCAUCAGUUCGAUAAUGUUGUGAUGAGCUCGCGAGAACAUUAGAACGUUUUUAACUUUACAGUGAUUCUGUAAGUAUAGUACUUCGCAGAUGUUAGUAUGUUACGGAAUCGAUAGCAGAUAGCGAUUUAUUCUGUAUGCCACAUUACAUUGAAAUAAAUUCAGCAUGAAAACC